rnacentral:misc_RNA from 2 species
AACGCACAUUGCGCCCUUUGGUAUUCCUUAGGGCAUGCCUGUUCGAGCGUCAUUUAAACCUUCAAGCUCUGCUUGGUGUUGGGCAUGUCACGCCCCCCUCCGCGGGGGUGUGCGCCUCAAAUCUAUUGGCGGCCGGUACGUUGGCUUCGAGCGCAGCAGAAACGCGAACUCGGGGACUCCGGAUCGGCCCUCCACAAGCUAUUUUAUCAUUUUGACCUCGGAUCAGGUAGGGAUACCCGCUGAACUUAA